GAAUUAGAUAAGCAGCUGAGGAGAAGGAAGCAAUGCAGGGGCAGUGGGAAAGUGGGGCUGGUGGAGUAGGUUUGACAGAGGGCUAGCACGGAAUCCACGGGCCGAAUGGCUCCCCACUGUGCUGUAACCAAUCUUCAAUUAUAUAGUAUUUAAAUGCUUAUUCUGCUCUGGUGACAUUUUUAAGUAGCACCGAUGGGAAAUGUCUAGGGAGUUCUCUUUUACUAGUGUGUUUUAAAAACGUUAUCAAAUUGAGUGAGAUCCUCAUGAGUUGAAGAAGCAACUGGAAUCCAUGCGAAGACCAUGUUGUUUGGGAAUUUUUUUAAUUCCCUUAUCUAGUUUACGUGAAGCCAGACAAUUUCGUCACUAGUAUUUCUUCGCAAAGAAAUCUUUAACAGAUAAGAACUUGUGAAAAAAAAAUGAUGUAACUAGGAUUGGUGCUCCUGCCCUGUCCGCUCCCAAUUGUGCCGGCAGAGAGAGAAAAAAAGCCCCAAAUGACCCAGUUCGAUGGGCGGGGCGGGGUCCGGCCGCAACCUAUCGCAUGUCGAAAAUCCAUUUACGACCUGUCAUCUGGCCCAAGAAGGACAAGAGAGAGAGAGAGAGAGAAACCCCGCCUUCAGCCGAAGCUUGAACCUCCCGCCCCAGUGCGAGAGACUAAGAGCGAAACUUUUUCUCCUGCCUGUCCUCUUUAUAAUUGGUCUUUGCCUCGAAGUGGCUGUACAAUCCUCAGCAGUGUUCUGAGACUGUACGGUCGCCUCUCGUUUCCGGGUUGCUUCAUGAUCUCAACUGUUUGAUCCAACUAGGCAUUUAAAAAAGAAACCCACAUGAAGAGAAAAGAGAGAGAGAGAGACUGAUAAAGCAAGGAGAAAGAAGAAAAAAACAACUUCGUGAGUAAGGCAGAGAAAGUGAAAACAAAUCAGGAAGAAAAGAAAAAAUCAAAUUAUGAUUCUUUCCAUCCAUAUUACAUUGUAAAGUUGAGCUCCGGUUGUCAACUGCGCUUCUCGGUCUGUUUUUGUUUUGCUUCUGUGAACUUAAUCGUCCAAACCAUGACAGCAGAGAAGGAGAAGAAAAGCAUCUCUCAAACCUGCAAUCUCUACCAUCUAGAAGAUUGAGGGCAGAAGAAAUAUGGGAACACCAUCACCUCCAUGUUCCUCUCCAAGUCACACACCAUCCUGACUUGGAAGUAUAUCACUGUAUCUUCAUCAUCAUUGAGUCAGUAUCCUAAAACACCCCACCUAAUAGCACUGUGAGAGCACCCUCACCACAUAAAUUGCAGUGGUGCAAGAAGGCAGCUCAGUGCCCCUUUACAAGAGCAAUUAGAUUUGGGACAAUAAAUGCCGACAUUGCCAGUGAAAACCAAAUCCUGUGAAUUAGUAAAAACAAUGACAUGGUACAGGGACUGAAAUGGAUAAGGUUUAACUGUGGGGGAGGGGGUGCGUUUGCAUCUAUAGUACAUGCUGUUCAAUGAUUAGGCAGACAGUAAGAUAUUGUUUUAGUAAAAGUAAUGAUGGAAUGAUGUAACCUGAAUGGCAACUGCUGGAUUUUUGUCUUGAAUUCUAUGCCCGCCCUCACCUAAAGUUGCAUUUAUGUUUGAGCAUAAGUAUCGGUGAAAGCUUCUUGGCUCACCAUUGUUCUGAGGGCAAAUUUGGGGCCAGAAUUUAGAUUAAAUGAAGGUAACAUGAAAAGAAAACUCAUUUGUGAGUUGAAAUCUAAUUACUCGAUUACAGCAACUUUUGUAUGACACAAAAGCUGUGUAUUCACUAUUGGAAAAAACUAAUCAGAUAUUUUGUUAGACUAGAAGUAAAGUUGUUUUAAUUGAAUUUUCAUAAUAAAAGACAUACCUUGAUUGUGA